CGGGCUGUAGCGCAGUCUGGCUAGCGCGCUUGCAUGGGGUGCAAGAAGUCGGUGGUUCGAAUCCACUCAGCCCGACCA
rnacentral:tRNA from 1 species